CGAACGAAGAAGUAGAAGAAGACAGUAGGCAAGCGGCCGCCGACAUUGUUGCUUUAUUUUGGGGUCGUGUUUAGGGAAUCAGGGGUAAAACGAAACACCAACGCACAGGCGAGAGCUGCGACCACAAAAAAGCGGGCCAAAUCCAAAGCGACCGCGGAAAACGGGCCAUUUUUUGCUGCGUGUGUGUUUCUGAGUCGUAAAAGUGGACGUUUUGUGAUUUUGUGAUAUUUGGUGAAUUGUGCAAACGUUUUCGAAUGAAAAUACGCCGAAACUUCAAUUAAACGCGCCAAUGAAAAUGUAGAAAAAGCGAACGCGCACAGCACGGACGAAGGCGAACAAUGAAAUGAAGAAGACGACGAAAAAGACCUCGGCUUGCUAGACAAAGACGGGGCUAUUAUCCAGCAAAGAAAUUAACAAUUCAAACACAUAUAGAUCGUCGUGUACAAUCAACUAUCCAUCUACCGAGUCUCCACUGUACACACCUCCCAGAGCGGACAUUAAACCGCAAGAGCAGCUCACAAUGGAAGCGCUUUGUUGUCGUCGGCGUUAUCAAUUAAAUGUAAAGCGCGGCGCAGCGCAAACGAAAUGGAAAUGAAAAUGGCAGCCGUGAGAUACGCCACUCACACAGAUACUAUGUACAGAUACUUACUCGUAUGUUCGUAUGUGCUGCACACGUUUACAAAAGUUUGUUAUUAUUAUAUUUGCGAUGAGCGGAAAUGCCAAUUGAAGCUACCUUUAACAAAGCCCCAUGAAGAUGCCCGCCCCCGGGGUUAACUACUGAUGGACUGACGGACUGACGGACGGACGGAUGGACGGAUGGACAGACUGUGUGCAUGACUCAAGUGUUUUUCAGGGGAGCCACUCGAGCCGAAGCUGAAAAUUGAUUGAUUCCACUAAGCGAAUGGGCCGCGCACAUGGAAAUGGAAGCU
ensembl:ncRNA asRNA:CR45189 antisense RNA:CR45189